UCACUGAGAAAUCAGCUCCUGCUAGGAGCUCUCCAUCUUUUUAUAGAUCCAGUCAUGUUUGUAUAUUGAUUUACUGAAAUACAUAACUUCAUUUUGUAAACUACCGCACUUCCUCUGCCGUUUCAAUGCUACCGCUAUUCCGUGGAAACCUCUUGGAGUUGCUAGUAGAUCAUGGAAGGUGUCUCCGAAAACAGUUUCCUUGCAAUUGCGACAGUUACUCUACUUUGGCUUUGGUUACUUCCUAGCGGAAUUGUUGCCUUAAUGCACAAGAUUCAGAGUUAUAUUUGUUCGAUGUUACACGUAGGCAAGGAAACCUAGGCCACUGUAUUUACAGCAGAUACACAACGAUGCACCUGGAGUCAGUGGAUGCAUUUUACGCAGCAUCGUUGUUUCACAGAUCGAAUUGAAGAAAGUACCGAAACAAAGAAAGCGAAAUACAUCUCAAUGCGAUUAUACAAAAGUAUCGUGGCAGUAACUCCAUACAUUACCGAAUAUUGUAGAAAUAAAAAUGUGGUUUAUACAUUUUUGCGAGUAUCA